rnacentral:rRNA from 1 species
GUAGGUGGCAAGCGUUGUCCGGAAUUAUUGGGCGUAAAGCGCGCGCAGGCGGUCCUUUAAGUCUGAUGUGAAAGCCCACGGGCUCAACCGUGGAGGGUCAUUGGAAACUGGGGGACUUGAGUACAGAAGAGGAAAGCGGAAUUCCAAGUGUAGCGGUGAAAUGCGUAGAGACUUGGAGGAGCACCAGUGGCGAAGGCGGCUUUCUGGUCUGUAACUGACGCUGAGGCGCGAAAGCGUGGGGAGCAAACAGGAUUAGAUACCCUGGUAGUCCACGCCGUAAACGAUGAGUGCUAAGUGUUAGGGGGUUUCCGCCCCUUAGUGCUGCAGCUAACGCAUUAAGCACUCCGCCUGGGGAGUACGGCCGCAAAGGCUG